rnacentral:rRNA from 1 species
UCGGGAAUAUUGCGCAAUGGAGGAAACUCUGACGCAGUGACGCCGCGUGCAGGAAGAAGGUUUUCGGAUUGUAAACUGCUUUAGACAGGGAAGAAAAAAAUUGGCGGUACCUGUAGAAUAAGCUCCGGCUAACUACGUGCCAGCAGCCGCGGUAAUACGUAGGGAGCAAGCGUUAUCCGGAUUUAUUGGGUGUAAAGGGUGCGUAGACGGGUAUACAAGUUAGUAGUGAAAUCCCUCGGCUUAACUGAGGAACUGCUACUAAAACUAUAUAUCUUGAGUACUGGAGGGGAAAGCGGAAUUCCUAGUGUAGCGGUGAAAUGCGUAGAUAUUAGGAAGAACACCGGUGGCGAAGGCGGCUUUCUGGACAGAAACUGACGUUGAGGCACGAAAGUGUGGGGAGCAAACAGGAUUAGAUACCC